AACGAACGCUGGCGGCGUGCCUAACACAUGCAAGUCGAACGGAAUUGAGGUGCUUGCACUUCAAUUUAGUGGCGCACGGGUGAGUAACGCGUAGAUAAUCUGCCUGACGAUCUGGGAUAACACUUCGAAAGAGGUGCUAAUACCGGAUAAGCCCACGGGGUCUUUGGAUUCUGCGGGAAAAGGGGGGGACCUUCGGGCCUUCUGUCGUCAGAUGAGUCUGCGUACCAUUAGCUAGUUGGUAGGGUAAUGGCCUACCAAGGCUACGAUGGUUAGCUGGACUGAGAGGAUGAUCAGCCACACAGGAGCUAAGACACGUGCCAGACCCCUACGGGGGGCAGCAGUGGGGAAUUUUGCGCAAUGGGCGAAAGCCUGACGCAGCAACGCCGCGUGAGUGAUGAAGGCUUUCGGGUCGUAAAGCUCUGUCAAUGGGAAAGAAGUGUAUUGUGGCUAAUAUCCACGAUACUUGACGGUACCCAUAAAGGAAGCACCGGCUAACUCCGUGCCAGCAGCCGCCGUAACAC
rnacentral:rRNA from 1 species